rnacentral:rRNA from 1 species
UGGGGAAUUUUGGACAAUGGGCGAAAGCCUGAUCCAGCAAUGCCGCGUGUGUGAAGAAGGCCUUCGGGUUGUAAAGCACUUUUGUCCGGAAAGAAAUCCUUGGCUCUAAUACAGUCGGGGGAUGACGGUACCGGAAGAAUAAGCACCGGCUAACUACGUGCCAGCAGCCGCGGUAAUACGUAGGGUGCAAGCGUUAAUCGGAAUUACUGGGCGUAAAGCGUGCGCAGGCGGUUUGCUAAGACCGAUGUGAAAUCCCCGGGCUCAACCUGGGAACUGCAUUGGUGACUGGCAGGCUAGAGUAUGGCAGAGGGGGGUAGAAUUCCACGUGUAGCAGUGAAAUGCGUAGAGAUGUGGAGGAAUACCGAUGGCGAAGGCAGCCCCCUGGGCCAAUACUGACGCUCAUGCACGAAAGCGUGGGGAGCAAAACAGGAUUAGAUACCCUGGUAGUCCACGCCCUAAAACGAUGUCAACUAGUUGUUGGGGAUUCAUUUCCUUAGUAACGUAGCUAACGCGUGAAGUUGACCGCCUGGGGAGUACGGUCGCAAGAUUAAAACUUAAAGGAAUUGACGGGGUCAUAGCUG